rnacentral:rRNA from 1 species
UGCGUAGGCGGAGUAUUAAGUCAGUGGUGAAAUCCUGCAGCUCAACUGUAGAAUUGCCAUUGAUACUGUUAUUCUUGAGUAUAGUUGAGGUGGGCGGAAUGUAUCAUGUAGCGGUGAAAUGCUUAGAUAUGAUACAGAACACCGAUUGCGUAGGCAGCUCACUAAACUAUUACUGACGCUGAGGCACGAAAGCGUGGGGAGCGAACAGGAUUAGAUACCCUGGUAGUCC